GCCUUCGUGGUGUAAUGGUCAGCACACUCCGCAUGUAUUCGAGAGGUCCAGGUUCGAGUCCCGGCGAGGGCA
rnacentral:tRNA from 1 species